rnacentral:rRNA from 1 species
CGUUGUAGAAUCACUGGUGAAUAAGGGGUGGGCAAGUUCUGGUGUCAGCCGCCGCGGUAAAACCAGCACCUCGAGUGGUCAGGAGGUUUAUUGGGCCUAAAGCAUCCGUAGCCGGUUGCAUAAGUUUUCGGUUAAAUCUAUGCGCUUAACGUAUAGGCCGCCGAAAAUACUGUGCAGCUAGGGAGUGGGAGAGGUACACGGUACUCGAUAGGAAGGGGUAAAAUCCUUUGAUCUAUUGAUGACCACCUGUGGCGAAGGCGGUGUACCAGAACACGUUCGACGGUGAGGGAUGAAAGCUGGGGGAGCAAACCGGAUUAGAUACCCGGGUAGUCCCAGCUGUAAACGAUGCAGACUCGGUGAUGCAUUGGCUUGUGGCCAAUGCAGUGCCGCAGGGAAGCCGUUAAGUCUGCCGCCUGGGAAGUACGUACGCAAGUAUGAAACUUAAAGGAAUUGGCGGGGGAGCACCACAAGGGGUGAAGCCUGCGGUUCAAUUGGAGUCAACGCCAGAAAUCUUACCUGGGGAGACAGCAGAAUGAAGGUCAAGCUGAAGACUUUACCAGACACGCUGAGAGGUGGUGCAUGGCCGUCGCCAGCUCGUGCCGUGAGAUGUCCUGUUAAGUCAGGUAACGAGCGAGACCCCUGCGUCUAGUUGCUACCAUUACUCUCUGGAGCAGUGGAGCGAAUUAGACGGACCGCCACAGUUAAUGUGGAGGAAGGAAGGGGCCACGGCAGGUCAGUAUGCCCCGAAACCCUAGGGCUACACGCGGGCUGCAAUGGUAUUGACAUGUGUUCCGAAUCCGAAAGGAGGAGGCAACCAUCAAACAUAUCUCAGUUAUGACUGAGGGC